UACAGAGGAUGCAAGCGUUAGGCGGAAUCACUGGGCUUAAAGCGUGUGUAGGCGGAUCGUUAAGUGUCUUGUGAAAUCCCACGGCUCACCCGUGGAACUGCUGGGCAUACUGGCGAUCUUGGGCCAACUAGGGGCAACUGGAACAAGCGGUGGAGCGGUGAAAUGCGUAGAUAUCGCUUGGAACGCCGAAGGUGAAAACAGGUUGCUGGGGUUGUGCCGACGCUGAGACACGAAAGCCAGGGGAGCAAACGGG
rnacentral:rRNA from 1 species